GUUGACAGCGGAAGUAGGCGCCAUCUUGCCAUGGUGAAUGCCUCUCCAGCUUCACCGCUCCCCACAAGAUACGAUGGCAGCAGUAGAGGCAUUGAAGAAGAACAAGCUAUAAGCUACAGUAAUGGAUGUUCUGUCACCUCUCAAUCUGGCUGAAUGAAUGCUGAAAGGCAGUUGAUCCUUAAGUUUGUGGUUAGGAAGAUGCGAAGAUCAGCGAGGACCCAUGCACAUCAUAGAGCUGUAAAUGAGGAUGCUUUGAAAAGUGUGACUCAUUAUUAAUUCAGUCAGUCUUAAAGCAGAUGAAGAAUCAGGCAUGUUGUGAAAUGGAAAUUCUUUUGGACUGCUCCCUUUCCUAAGAAAUAAUGGCUGAUGGAUGGGCAUCAAGAAAAUAAGCAUCAACACUCUCCCCAGGAAGCCUUUAUAGUAAGCUGUGCCUGCAUGUCUCCAUGUGUACCACACAUGAAUCUGCUUGCCUGAGAGGCCAGAAGAUGACAAGAAAUACCCUGGAACUACAGUUACAGGAAGUUGUGAGCUGCCAUGUUGUUUAUAGGAACCAAACUUAGGUCCUCUGGAAGAGCAGCAAGUUCUCUCAACCUCUGAGCCAUCUCUCCAGACAUUGACUCAUCUUUGUAUCAUGUAACCCAACAGUACUUUAUAGUUACUCAAAGACAUGGUUUUACCAUCAGAUCAUUAAAGGGUUUACAAUCUGAAA